GUUAAAAUUGCUUUUAAUGUUUUUGACAGCAGAAACCAAGUGCAACAAAGAAAAAAUCACUGAAAAGUGAAACAGCAGCCUAUUUUGUUAGCUGUUGCCCUAAUUCAAGGGAAUCCAAGACCAGGGUCAUUACAAGGAUGAGAUCAACCCAAGGUUGAUAUACCCUACAGAUGUGCUCUUGCACCACUAAAUCCCAGAGACUUGGUGUUAUUGAAGAUUGGGAAGAACAGGCACCCAGAAGAGCAACUCUAACCUCCUUGAACAGGACAUUUUGAGGUGUCAUUGACUACCUAUUCAGUAAAACUCAAGAGUAUUAAGCCAUGGAUUCACCACACCCAAGCAGGAAGGAGCUAGAGCCACCAUGAUCCCAAUUUCCUCAAGAACGAGGAAUAACAAAAAGACAGUGGGGACUCAAAUCAGUAACCAAAGAGUUAGUGGAACUAAGAAGUGCAACUACAACUUUUUACCAAAAUCAGCUUGUUCUCAAAAUGCUGUCUGCCACUGAAAGGGUGGGCCUACGCCGGCCAACUCCAUCUUGUUCUGUGUCCUUCACCUUGACCACACCUCCUCCCCUUGAGCAACCUCCCCCUCACCUGCCUAACAGG